rnacentral:tRNA from 1 species
CGUUCCAUGGUCAAACUGGUCAAAACAUUGGCGAAUAAAGGUGAAGAUGCGGGUUCGAGUCCCACUGGAACGG